GCGGGAGUGGCGAAGCUGGUAGACGCGCCAGGCUGAGGGCCUGGUGGGCCGAAAGGCCCGUGGGGGUUCGACUCCCCCCUCCCGCACCA
rnacentral:tRNA from 1 species